rnacentral:lncRNA from 1 species
CGCAAGUGUAACCAGCCACUUCAGCAAAAGCUGGGGACAGAGUUGGGAUUAUCCUGGCAGGGACACUGCCAGUUUGAACUAAAGGGGACAGAAAAAUGGGAGGAAUGAAGGAAGGCCAUUGGAUUUCUUUGAUUCCACAGGACUGGACAAUGGAGCAUUUAGUCGUGAAAAUGCUUCAUCCUUCAAGAAAAUGGCAGAAUGACCCCAGAGGCAAUUCAGAGAUCGUCAGGACUGCCACUCUCACCACAGACCCAGGGGCAGGGCUGUUUCCUCCCUGGUUUCUGAGGGCAGGGGGCUUGCAGAGAGCUAUAGGGGGUGGGGGUUGUGCCCCACUGAGCUGAAGUGGCCAAACUACCCCGCCCCAAGCCCCACAGAGCUGUGAUGCUGUCACCCAGGUGGGCCUGGCAGGCAGGGCAUCGAGCCAGAGAGGAUUGUUCUCCAGGCUUAAGAUCUGAUGGAAUUGCCAACCAAGUUUUGGACUUGUAUGGGACCUGUCCUUCUUUCCUAUUUCUCCUUUUUGAAAUGCAGUCUGUCCUGUCAUCGCAUAUUGGAAGCACAUAACUUGUUUUGUUCAUUUGUUAGGUUCACAGCUGGAGAGGAAUUUUGCCUCAGGAAGAAUUAUACCCUGGAUCACACCAUCAUCUGAUUUAGACGAUAUUUAGUCCCUGGAGAGGUCUCACCUCUCACCGAGAUGCAACCAUAGCCUAUCAGAUGCUAUCAGUGCCCCCAUGGCCCACCCUGGUGGUUUCCAACAUGCUGAUGGAUUCCUGUGACUUUCAGCCUGAGGGCGGAUGCGGAGUGGAGUCCACACCCCCUCUUCCCUCCCAUACAGCAGCGAGGGAUGGUGGGUCAUCAAGCAGGGCUGGCCUUCAAUGCUGAAACAUGUGGGAUGUGGCUCAGGCAACAUCAACCGGAUGAGUUUGGACCUGGGUGAAGAACCAACACCUUAGCUUAAGUGAGAGUAGAGUCGGCUGAGCUGCCGUUGGCUCUUCAGUGAGUGGGCCAGCGAGG